UACAUGGGGUGCAAACGUUGCUCGGAAUUAUUGGGCGUAAAGCGCACGUAGGCGGUCCACUAAGUCGGAUGUGAAAGCCCUCGGCUUAACCGAGGAAGUGCAUCCGAAACUGGCGGGCUUGAGUACGAAAGAGGGUCGCGGAAUUCCCGGUGUAGAGGUGAAAUUCGUAGAUAUCGGGAGGAACACCGGUGGCGAAGGCGGCGACCUGGGUCGAUACUGACGCUGAGGUGCGAAAGCGUGGGGAGCAAACAGG
rnacentral:rRNA from 1 species